UACGAAGGGGGCGAGCGUUGUUCGGAUUUACUGGGCGUAAAGGGCGCGCAGGCGGCUAUCCAAGUCAGGCGUGAAAGCCCCGGGCUUAACCUGGGAGGUGCGUCUGGGACUGGGUGGCUAGAGUUCGGGAGAGGAGAGUGGAAUUCCCAGUGUAGAGGUGAAAUUCGUAGAUAUUGGGAAGAACACCGGUGGCGAAGGCGGCUCUCUGGACGGUUACUGACGCUGAGACGCGAAAGCGUGGGGAGCAAACAGG
rnacentral:rRNA from 1 species